AACGAACGCUGGCGGCAGGCUUAACACAUGCAAGUCGAACGCCCCGCAAGGGGAGUGGCAGACGGGUGAGUAACGCGUGGGAAUCUACCUAGUUCUACGGAACAACAGUUGGAAACGACUGCUAAUACCGUAUACGCCCUACGGGGGAAAGAUUUAUCGGAAUUAGAUGAGCCCGCGUAAGAUUAGCUAGUUGGUGGGGUAAUGGCCUACCAAGGCGACGAUCCUUAGCUGGUCUGAGAGGAUGAUCAGCCACACUGGGACUGAGACACGGCCCAGACUCCUACGGGAGGCAGCAGUGGGGAAUAUUGGACAAUGGGCGCAAGCCUGAUCCAGCCAUGCCGCGUGAGUGAUGAAGGCCUUAGGGUUGUAAAGCUCUUUCAGUAGGGAAGAUAAUGACGGUACCUACAGAAGAAGCCCCGGCUAACUUCGUGCCAGCAGCCGCAGUAA
rnacentral:rRNA from 1 species